rnacentral:hammerhead_ribozyme from 1 species
ACACUGUGGAAGAGUCCCAAAUAGGAUGAAACAGCCUUCCAGUGU